rnacentral:lncRNA from 1 species
CUGCCACGUCUGUUUGCACUGUGACAACAACAAAGCAAAGACCUCCAGCAAAGACCUCCAGCAAAGACCUCCAGCAAUGACCUCCCUCGGACAUAAUUACAUUGAACUAAAACACAAAGACACCUUUACCAAGGUCGAGAUCCCGUCAGAAUAUCAAUGUGAGCACAGCGGCGGUGAUGGGGGUGGCUGUGAGAGGACAGAGAGGAGUGGCGCCCACCAAGGAGUCUCAUUAUGACACAGAGGGACAUCCGCCUAACACUAACGCUACGGGGUCUGCCACGGCCAGGAGCAGGGGUCCACUACGUAGGGAACCUGGAGAACACAAACCCAUAACCACCACCGGGAUGGACCGAGACACGGGGAUAGAGAGAGGGAGG